rnacentral:rRNA from 1 species
AUGUUCCGGUGCCUCAGGGGCGUCCGGCAGCGCCUCAGCACCGAUCGCCACCACCACCAGCAGGACAACCGCUGCCAUCUCCGACAGCAAGCCAUGAACAAACCCGCGGAGAACAUCAGCGUGGGCUCUUGUGUCUUCCAAUUCAAAGUAGACUAUGAGCGAAGCAAGCAGAUUCCCGUUGGCACGGCCUUCUAUUCCGACAUCGUCUCCGCCGGGGGACACCUGUGGAGGGUUAAGUUCUUCCCGCGUGGGGAGUUAGAGGCCGACCAGGAGUAUGUUUCCAUCUUCCUCGAGCACAUGAGCAAGUCUAGAAGUGUGGAGGUCAUGUUUGAGGUCUUUAUGAUGGGUAGGGACAGCAAGCCAUGUAUGGCACACAGACGAAGGUUCGUUCGAACCUUGGAAAUCAUGGAAGAUAAAGACAGCAGCGACUGCUGGGGAUGGGGUCAGUUCAUCGAGGGAACUAUAUUGGAGGAAGAUUACUUAACAGAGGGGCAUGUCACAUUUGUAUUUUCCAUCAUGAUCAUCGAUGACAACUGUGUUCUUGUCCCUCCUUCAAACAUCGGGACCCAUCUUGGCCGCCUGCUAGAUCACGCUGAUGGGACAGAUGUGUCGUUCAUUGUUGACAAUGAGACAUUCCAUGCUCACCGAGCAGUGCUUGCUGCCCGCUCCCCGGUCUUCAGAGCAGAGCUCUUCGGCCCCAUGUCUGAGGCUACAAUGCCAUCCAUCACGCUGCACGACAUCACACCUGCAACAUUCAAAAUUAUGCUCCGGUUCAUAUACACAGAUGAACUGCCCCUAGAAGACGAGCUUGAGGACUCUUCCACCGAGAUGUUCCAGAACCUGCUUGCUGCGGCCGAUCUGUAUGCACUGGACAGACUGAAGAUUAUUUGCGCCCAGAAGUUGUGGGAUAAAGUGUCGGUAGAUACAGUUGCAACUAUCUUAGCUUGGGCUGAAACCUACAACUGCCAGGAGUUGAAGAACAGGUGCAUUGACUUCUUUGUGGUGGAGGAAAAUUUCAAGAAGGCCAUAUUCACUGAUGGUUAUGCGUUGCUGGUUCUGAAAUUCCCAGAGAUCAUUGCUGACAUAAAAAAGAGGGUUUAG